GGCUUCCAAAGUUUUGCCAAAGCCUCAGAUGUGUGGCCUUCUGGCCAAGCGUCUGUGAUUUCAUAUUGUUGAAGCAUCCAUGGUAUCCCUGGGGGCUGCAGCUUUCUAUAUGUUUGCUGUGGCUGAACCAAGAAAGAAGGCAUAUGCAGAUUUCUACAGAAAUUACGAUUCCAUGAAAGAUUUUGAGAUGAGGAAGGCUGGUAUCUUU
rnacentral:lncRNA from 10 species